rnacentral:lncRNA from 1 species
CAUGUAUUGGUUGUUAUAAAAAUUCUAACAUUUAUCACAUCUCACACCACUGUAUUUCAGCUGGAUUCAAAGAAAAGCCUUUUGUGGAAGAACUGAAGGUGGCAGGUCUCAAGCUCAUUUCCAUUGAACAACUGAAAUGUUGAUGUACUCUGCUGCAGUGUGACUGUAUAUCCUGAAUUUAUAUUCAGAUCUCUGACAGAAGACAUUUGGUGUAUCCAGUCACAUGCUGUGGAAGGAGCUGAUGCCUUUCCAGAAGAAAUUAAUCACAUGGAGCCAU